rfam:Pantoea gaviniae strain LMG 25382 Contig0005_, whole genome shotgun sequence.
GCGGCAGCGCGGUUUGUUGUCGCCACGCUUACGGUUGUGAGUGGAAUAACGGAUAGAAGGAAGAUAUCGAUG